rnacentral:misc_RNA from 1 species
CAGAGUCUCUGGGCCUCCUUCUAGGAGGCCCAAACUCCCACCCCAUGUUUACAUACCUCUGUUGCCUCGGCGGGCCCGCCGGGGACUCCUCGCGAGUCUCCAGCAUCCGGCCCCGUGCUGGACAGCGCCCGCCAGAGGACCAACCAAACUCGUUUUUACCGGCAGUCUGAGUAAUAUAACAAAUAAGUUA